rnacentral:rRNA from 1 species
UACGUAGGCAGCAAGCGUUGUUCGGAGUUACUGGGCGUAAAGGGUGUGUAGGCGGUUGUUUAAGUUUGGUGUGAAAUCUCCCGGCUCAACUGGGAGGGUGCGCCGAAUACUGAAUGACUUGGAGUGCGGGAGAGGAUAGUGGAAUUCCCAGUGUAGAGGCGAAAUUCGUAGAUAUUGGGAAGAACACCGGUGGCGAAGGCGGCUAUCUGGACCGUAACUGACGCUGAGGCGCGAAAGCGUGGGGAGCAAACAGG